rnacentral:pre_miRNA from 1 species
ACAACAUUCGGACCGUCGGUCUACCGAGCAAAUCCCACCAGCUCGGUGGAAGAUCUUCUCAUUCGUUGU